UACGUAGGGGGCAAGCGUUGUCCGGAUUUAUUGGGCGUAAAGAGCGUGUAGGCGGCCAGGUAGGUGGGUUGUGAAAACUGGAGGCUCAACCUUCAGAGGUCGACCCAAACCCCCUGGCUAGAGUCCGGAAGAGGAGAGUGGAAUUCCUGGUGUAGCGGUGAAAUGCGCAGAUAUCAGGAAGAACACCCGUGGCGAAGGCAGCUCGCUGGGACGUUACUGACGCUGAGACGCGAAAGCGUGGGGAGCAAACAGG
rnacentral:rRNA from 1 species